AAAGACAAAAAAGACACACGCAAUCAAGCUCACGAAAGCACUAAAAUAUGCCCCUUUUUUGUUUUGUUGUUUUUUUUGUUUUUGCGUGUUGUCUUUC
rnacentral:ribozyme from 1 species